rnacentral:rRNA from 1 species
AUGUCCUGUGUGAAAAAUGAAAAAGGACUUAUGAUGCAUGUAAUGGCAGAGUUCUAUGGAUCUGAGCUGAUGGUGUCAUUCGGACCAAAGGCAAUAACAAAUCAGUGUACAAGUUUCUAUAGAGAUGACACAAAGGAGGGUGACAUAAUUGAGACAAUUGCGCACUUCAAGGAUAUACAAAAAACCGAUCCAGACUUCUUCUAUAAGGUAAAAUAUGAUGAAGAGGACAGAGUUUCAACAUAUUUUGGGUGGAUGGCUCAGCUCGAAAAGCUUAUGCGAAGGCGUACCACGAUUGCAUAUCGUUUGACACUACCUACAUGA